rnacentral:rRNA from 1 species
CCUACGGGUGGCAGCAGUGAGGAAUCUUUGUCAAUGGGAGAGAUCCUGAACCAGCCAAGCCGCGUGAGGGAAGACGGCCCUAUGGGUUGUAAACCUCUUUUGUCGGAGAACAAAACCCGGGACGUGUCCCGGACUGCGUGUAUCCGACGAAAAAGCAUCGGCUAACUCCGUGCCAGCAGCCGCGGUAAUACGUGGGAUGCGGGCGUUAUCGGGAUUUAUUGGGUUUAAGGGUUGCGUAGGCGGUCCGUUAGGUCAGGGGGAAAAUUGCGGGGCUCAAACCCGUCUAGCAGUUGAGACUGGGAGACUUGAGUUGGCGAGAGGUACGCGGAAUGCGCGGUGUAGCAGUGAAAUGCGUAGAUAUCGCGCAGAACUCCGAUUGCGAAGGCAGCGUACCGGCGCCAGACUGACGCUGAGGCACGAAGGCGAGGGGAUCGAACAGGAUUAGAUACCCUAGUAGUC